rnacentral:rRNA from 1 species
AUUGAACGCUGGCGGAAUGCUUUACACAUGCAAGUCGAGCGGCAGCGCGGGGCAACCUGGCGGCGAGCGGCGAACGGGUGAGUAAUGUAUCGGAACGUGUCCUGUCGUGGGGGAUAGCCCGGUGAAAACCGGAUUAAUACCGCAUACGAUCGAGAGAUGAAAGUGGGGGACCGCAAGGCCUCACGCGAUAGGAGCGGCCGAUAUCUGAUUAGCUAGUUGGUGGGGUAAAGGCCCACCAAGGCGACGAUCAGUAGCUGGUCUGAGAGGAUGAUCAGCCACACUGGGACUGAGACACGGCCCAGACUCCUACGGGAGGCAGCAGUGGGGAAUUUUGGACAAUGGGGGCAACCCUGAUCCAGCCAUUCCGCGUGAGUGAAGAAGGCCUUCGGGUUGUAAAGCUCUUUUGUCCGGGAAGAAACGGUUUCACCUAAUACGUGAGACUACUGACGGUACCGGAAGAAUAAGGACCGGCUAACUACGUGCCAGCCGCCGCCGUAAUAC